rnacentral:rRNA from 1 species
AUUGAACGCUGGCGGCAGGCCUAACACAUGCAAGUCGAGCGGCAGCGGGAAAGUAGCUUGCUACUUUUGCCGGCGAGCGGCGGACGGGUGAGUAAUGCCUGGGGAUCUGCCCAGUCGAGGGGGAUAACUACUGGAAACGGUAGCUAAUACCGCAUACGCCCUACGGGGGAAAGCAGGGGACCUUCCGGCCUUGCGCGACUGGAUGAACCCAGGUGGGAUUAGCUAGUUGGUGAGGUAAUGGCUCACCAAGGCGACGAUCCCUAGCUGGUCUGAGAGGAUGAUCAGCCACACUGGAACUGAGACACGGUCCAGACUCCUACGGGAGGCAGCAGUGGGGAAUAUUGCACAAUGGGGGAAACCCUGAUGCAACCAUGCCGCGUGUGUGAAGAAGGCCUUCGGGUUGUAAAGCACUUUCAGCGAGGAGGAAAGGUUGGUAGCUAAUAACUGCCAGCUGUGACGUUACUCGCAGAAGAAGCACCGGCUAACUCCGUGCCAGCCGCCGCCGUAACAC